rnacentral:rRNA from 2 species
UACAGAGGGUGCGAGCGUUAAUCGGAAUUACUGGGCGUAAAGGGCGCGUAGGCGGUUAUAUAAGUUAGAUGUGAAAUCCCCGGGCUUAACCUGGGAAUGGCAUUUAAUACUGUAUGACUAGAGUAGAGUAGAGGGAAGUGGAAUUUCCGGUGUAGCGGUGAAAUGCGUAGAUAUCGGAAAGAACACCAGUGGCGAAGGCGGCUUCCUGGACUCAUACUGACGUUGAGGCGCGAAAGCGUGGGUAGCAAACAGG